GGCAUAGCCUAGGGGUAGAGGAAAAUGAAGAGAACAAAAUGUAUCAAAUUUGUAAAUAAGUAAAAGUUAUAAUAACUUGGAUUGCUUGUUGGGAGGUUAAAUGUAAUAUGUAAUUGAGAUGUAAAAGCAUAUGUGCGAAUGCUUGUAAUAGUUAGCUGUUUAUGUUUUUGAUAUUUCCUUAUGCAAUCUGAAUGUUGAAUACUGUUCCUGGUUUGAACUCUUGUAUUGUAUU
rnacentral:lncRNA from 1 species